UGAACAAUCUGGAUUCUAAGAAUGUUAGUCUGCAGUGGUAUAAUCUGUAUCUUAGGAUCGUGAUCCCAACUAUGAUGCCAGUGCUCAAGCUUUAGAAGGCAAUUCUACCUUUUCAGCUGGAGCAAAUAUGAAAUUGGGCCUCCGUCACCUAGCACAUGUGCUAUUUUCUUUUUAAUCAUGUUCAGGCUCCAUUUGGAAAAUAUGAGGCUUGGAGAAUUAAGAAAAAGGGACGAAGAUGAAUGAACAGUAGAAAGCAAAGAAGUGCAGAGAUGCCAUCUCUUCUUCAGUCUUGAAUAAAUGAUGAGAUGUGCCUCGACCACCGUUGGCUCUCUGAACUGUGCCUUCCUUUGGAGAUGAGAGACACAAACCUUAUGUCCUUCUGCAACCAGAUGAGAGAGACCUCUAACAUCCUCCUUGAGAAGUUGGUGCACAAUUUGACUUGGCCUAGUGGCAUAAUUUCUUUGGAUGUGUACUAAUUAGAACUGUCUCUAAGCUUUAAACAGAUGAAAACCUAGAAUUGCCAGUGACAGUGAGGUUUGCUAUGGAGGAUGCGGGGAGAGUCCUAGAUUGAGAGUAGCGUGCCCUUUAUAUUAACGCAAGUAUAGCUGAUCAGGACGCAGUCCAACGGCUGAUUUUGCUUUUGGGAGUAUCCUUCCUGAUUCAGAGGUUGCUGAUAAUAUUAUUUGAAGAACUUCUCCUACUAUUGAUGUGGAUUCCAUCAAAUCGUUCAGCGAUAUGAAGCUGCUGCGUGUUCUUUUUAGUUGUAGUCCAAGUUGAAUUGUAACUCUGUUUUUAGGUCAAGCAUGAUCGGAGAACCAGCUGGAUAUUUUUGUGAGAAGAGACUUCGUAGGGUGAUCCUACCCUAUCUAUUGUAAUAAUCUAAGUUGGUUGUACA